GAUGAACGCUGGCGGCGUGCCUAAUACAUGCAAGUCGAGCGAACGGACGAGAAGCUUGCUUCUCUGAUGUUAGCGGCGGACGGGUGAGUAACACGUGGAUAACCUACCUAUAAGACUGGGAUAACUUCGGGAAACCGGAGCUAAUACCGGAUGAUAUUUUGAACCGCAUGGUUCAAAAGUGAAAGACGGUCUUGCUGUCACUUAUAGAUGGAUCCGCGCUGCAUUAGCUAGUUGGUAGGGUAACGGCUUACUAAGGCAACGAUGCAUAGCCGACCUGAGAGGGUGAUCGGCCACACUGGAACUGAGACACGGUCCAGACUCCUACGGGAGGCAGCAGUAGGGAAUCUUCCGCAAUGGGCGAAAGCCUGACGGAGCAACGCCGCGUGAGUGAUGAAGGUCUUCGGAUCGUAAAACUCUGUUAUUAGGGAAGAACAUAUGUGUAAGUAACUGUGCACAUCUUGACGGUACCUAAUCAGAAAGCCACGGCUAACUACGUG
rnacentral:rRNA from 1 species